rnacentral:misc_RNA from 1 species
UCCUAGCACUAGAAACCAAA